UACAGAGGGUGCUAAUGCUGCUCGGAAUUACUGGGUGUAAAGCGCGUGCAGGCCGUUGUGAUAGGUCACAUGUUAAAGCCUUCCGCUUAACGUAAGAAGUGCAUUUGAGACUACCUGCCUGUUGUACGGGAGAGAAGAGUGGAAUUCCCGGUGUAGAGGUGAGAGUCGUACAUAUCGUGAGGAACACCAUGGGCGAAGGCGGCUCUCUGGUCCGAUCCUGACACUGAUACACGAAAGCGUGGGGAGCACACAGGAUUAGAUACCCUGGUAGUCCACACCGUAAACGAUGGGCACUAGGUGUAGGAGGUAUUGACCCCUUCUGUGCCGAAGGUAACGCAUUAAGCGCCCCGCCUGGGGAGUUCGGGCGCAAGGUAAAAACUCAAAGGAAUUGACGGGGGACCCCACAAGCGGUGGAGCAUGUGGUUCACAUUCGACGCAACGCGAAGAACCUUACCUGGGCUUGACUUCCGCUGACAAUCCUGGAAACAGGACCUUCCCCGCAAGGCUACAGCGAGACAGGUGCUGCAUGGCUGUCCUCAGCUCGAGUCGUGAGAUGUUGGGUUAAGUCGCGCAACGAGCGCACGCCUCAUCCUUAGCUGCCAUCUUUGAGUUGGGCACUCUAAGGAAACUGUCCCGCUUAACGGGGAGGAAGGCGGGGAUGACCUCAAGUCCUCAUGGCCCCUAUCUCCAGGGCUACACACCUGCUACAAUGGACGGAUCAAAGGGUUGCAAUCCCGCGAGGAGGACCUCAUUCCAAAAAGCCGUUCUCAGUUCAGAUCGGAGUCUGCAACUCGAGUCCAUGAAGGCGGAAUCCCUAGUAAUCGCGGCUCAUCAUGGCGCGGUGAAUUCGUUGCCGCGGUGCCU
rnacentral:rRNA from 1 species